CAGUCGCCGCGGUAAUACGUAGGGUGCGAGCGUUAAUUGGAAUUACUGGGCGUAAAGCGUGCGCAAGCGGUUGUGUAAGACAGGUGUGAAAUCCCCGGGCUUAACCUGGGAACUGCGCUUGUGACUGCACAGCUAGAGUAUGGCAGAGGGGGGUGGAAUUCCACGUGUAGCAGUGAAAUGCGUAGAGAUGUGGAGGAACACCGAUGGCGAAGGCAGCCCCCUGGGCCAAUACUGACGCUCAUGCGCGAAAGCGUGGGGAGCAAACAGGAUUAGAUACCCGCGUAGUCCCUGUCUCUUAUAC
rnacentral:rRNA from 1 species